CUUGGCGAUGAUGACACACUUGCCCUCACUGAGAGCUGUUAUAUACUGCUCAUUUAUGAGACUAAUUUUUGUACUCACGGGCUGAGCCAGC